AGAAAACGAAGGCAUAGAGACAAAAUUACUAAAUGGUAUGGAAUAAAUAACAUGAAAGAUUUAGUUUAAGCUGGACAUAACAUUGGUAAGAAUGCAGCCACAAGGAUUGGCAUAGUGAUGCAACACCCAAUAGUUUGUAUUGCUCCAAGCACACAGCUCAACUAGCUAUAUACCUAACAAAGUGGGUCAGCUAUAAGAACUCUUUAGGGCCAUUUCACUCUAUCCAGUGCAAAAUAGACUCCUUCACGCACUGAAAAGGCAUGAAUAAUCUGUACAACAGCAAUCUUGAUAAAUUCAGAAAUGAUUGGGGUAAAGAAUGUGCAAUGUUGCAUUGAUACCGGCUAGAAUUCUAUCAGAAUUCAGAUUGACAAUGAAAGUAAAGUAAA
rnacentral:misc_RNA from 1 species